rnacentral:misc_RNA from 1 species
GAUGAAGAACGUAGCAAAAUGCGAUACUUGGUGUGAAUUGCAGAAUCCCGUGAACCAUCGAGUUUUUGAACGCAAGUUGCGCCCGAAGCCUUUUGGCCGAGGGCACGUCUGCCUGGGCGUCACGCAUCGCGUCGCCCCCCACAAUUCUCCGUAAAGGGAACGUGUGUUUUGGGGGCGGAUAUUGGUCUCCCGUGCUCAUGGCGUGGUUGGCCGAAAUAGGAGUCCUUUCGCUGGACGCACGAACUAGUGGUGGUCGUAAAAACCCUCGUCUUUUGUUUCGUGCUGUUGCUCGCAAGGUAAACUCUUUAAAAACCCCAAUGUGUCGUCUCUUGACGACGCUUCGACCGCGACCCCAGGUCAGGCGGGACUACCCGCUGAGUUUAAGCAUAUCAAUAAGCGGAGGA